UACGAAGGGGCUAGCGUUGCUCGGAAUCACUGGGCGUAAAGGGUGCGUAGGCGGGGUCUUUAAGUCAGGGGUGAAAUCCUGGAGCUCAACUCCAGAACUGCCUUUGAUACUGAGAUCUUGAGUUCGGAGAGGGUGAGUGGAACUGCGAAGUGUAGAGGGUGAAAAUUGUAGAUAUUCGCAAAGAACACCAGUGGCGAAGGGCGGGCUCACUGGCCCCCGAUACUGACGCUGAGG
rnacentral:rRNA from 1 species